UUUGACAUGUACGGAACUCGCCAGAGAUGGCUUGGUGCUCGAAAGAGAACCGUAACACAGGUGCUGCAUGGCUGUCGUCAGCUCGUGUCGUGAGAUAUUGGGUUAAGUCCCGCAACGAGCGCAACCCUUGUCAUUAGUUGCUACAUUUAGUUGGGCACUCUAAUGAGACUGCCGGUGACAAACCGGGAGGAAGGUGGGGAUGACGUCAAGUCCUCACUGGCCCUUAUAGGUAGGGCUACACACGUCAUACAAUGGCUGGUACAAAGGGUUGCCAACCCGCGAGGGGGAGCUAAUCCCAUAAAGCCAGUCGUAGUCCGGAUCGCAGUCUGCAACUCGACUGCGUGAAGUCGGAAUCGCUAGUAAUCGUGGAUCAGAAUGUCACGGUGAAUACGUUCCCGGGUCUU
rnacentral:rRNA from 1 species